GGGCUUGCCCUUGCAAGAUAGUGGCGGACGGGUGAGUAACACGUGGAUAACCUGCCUUAUACAAAGGAAUAACACUGAGAAAUCAGUGCUAAAGCCUUAUAAGCUCCCGGCGCGGCAUCGGCAGAGAGAAAAUAUUUAUAGGUAUAAGAGGGGUCCGCGUCUGAUUAGCUAGUUGGAGGGGUAACGGCCCACCAAGGCGACGAUCAGUAGCCGGCCUGAGAGGGUGAACGGCCACAUUGGGACUGAGACACGGCCCAAACUCCUACGGGAGGCAGCAGUGGGGAAUAUUGCGCAAUGGGGGAAACCCUGACGCAGCAACGCCGCGUGAAGGAUGAAGGUUUUCGGAUUGUAAACUUCUAUCGAUGGGGAAGAAAAAAAUGACUGUACCCAAGUAAGAAGCACCGGCUAAAUACGUGCCAGCAGCCGCGGUAAUACGUAUGGUGCAAGCGUUAUCCGGAAUUACUGGGCGUAAAGGGUGAGUAGGCGGUCGAAUAAGUCAUAUGUGAAAAUCCAGGGCUCAACCCUGGACUUGCAUAAGAAACUGUUUGGCUAGAGUGCAGGAGAGGUAAGCGGAAUUCCUAGUGUAGCGGUGAAAUGCGUAGAUAUUAGGAAGAACACCAGUGGCGAA
rnacentral:rRNA from 1 species